rnacentral:rRNA from 1 species
GUGAGGAAUUUUCCGCAAUGGGCGAAAGCCUGACGGAGCAAUGCCGCGUGAAGGAUGAAGGCCUAUGGGUUGUAAACUUCUUUUCUUAGAGAAGAAUAUUGACGGUAUCUGAGGAAUAAGCAUCGGCUAACUCUGUGCCAGCAGCCGCGGUAAGACAGAGGAUGCAAGCGUUAUCCGGAAUGAUGGGGCGUAAAGCGUCUGUAGGUGGCUUCAAAAGUCUCCUGUCAAAGAUCAGGGCUUAACCCUGGGCCGGCAGGAGAAACUCUGAGGCUAGAGUUUGGUAGGGGCAGAGGGAAUACCCGGUGGAGCGGUGAAAAGCGUAGAGAUCGGGAGGAACACCAAAGGCGAAAGCACUCUGCUGGGCCACAACUGACACUGAGAGACGAAAGCGAGGGGAGCAAAAGGGAUUAGAAACCCGUGUAGUCC